ACAUGCUUACAACAUAGAAUUAAUGCAUCAUAUUUCAUUCGAACUUCGCAUUUAAGAACACUCGGGCUAAAAUAGUACUGGGAUGGGGAACCGCCCUGGAAGUCCUAGUGUUUUACAUGCU
rfam:Picea glauca, whole genome shotgun sequence.